ensembl:misc_RNA Metazoa_SRP Metazoan signal recognition particle RNA
GCUGGGUGUGGUGGCUCACGCCUGUAAUCCCAGCACUUUGGGAGGCCGAGACGGGCAGAUCACCUGAGGCCAGGAGUUCAAGACCAGCCUGGCCAACAUGGUGAAACCCCGUCUCUA